rnacentral:lncRNA from 1 species
UGACUAGGAAACUGAGAAAUAAUAAAGACAGUCUUUAAUAAUAUGUUUAUUUCUGUGUCUCCUAUACAGGAUCUCAGUCUGUGUCCCAGGCUGACCUGGAUCUUAUGAAGCUGCCCUCAAGCCCACUGCAAUUCAUUUACCUCAGCUUGCUAAUUACUGAAACCACAGUAUGGGUCACCAUUUCUAGCCUGCUUGUUUGUUUUCAUGAGAGUAGCCAUAUUGAGCAUGAGGUCAACUCAGAAUUGGGAACAGCAAAGAGUCCCUGAGAAAAGAAACUGACACCCUGGAUCUGGCUGUCCUGAGCUGUGCCAUCCAUCCCAUGACUUGCAUCUAAAAGGGAACACAUGCUAUUAUUUAUGUGAGCUUGAGCAAGGUCCAUGACAUGCAUCUAAAGGUAUCUUAAAGUGAAAUUCUAUGUUUAAAUGGAUAUUUUCUUUAUGGUAGCAACAUGAUCUAGAGCAGGGUUGUCAAAUAGAACAUUUUGAGAUGAUGAAUGUUGUCUUUACAAUGUAGAUGGACACAGUCCUCAUUUGUUGGUUGAAAAAUUGAAAUUUGCUGCUUCAGGCCUGGGUGGAUUACUGGGUAGUGAGAGGGUUUCCUAUGAAGGCAAGAUAACCUGGAUUCUAACCCUCAGUAACCAUACAGAAUCCAAGCAUGGCUGCACACACUUGCAACAUCAGUGUUGGGUUUAUUUCAAGAACUCUCUGGCCAGAUAUUCUAGAACAAAUGACAAACUUCAGACUCAGUGAGAGAACUUGUCUUAAAAACUAAUAUGGGGUGAUACAGGAAGACAUCCAGUAUUUAGUUUGCACAUAAAUAUGUGGACUCCAUACCCACAUUCAACCUUAUACAAAUACACAAAGAGAAAGAAGGAUGUCAAUGCAACACAGGACCUGAAGUUCUAAUUUAAGUUGGUUUUCAUUCAUUUAAGUUCAAAUAGACUUAGACUCAUGUCUCUUUAGGGAGUGUCUUUUCAGAGGUAGGUGAGUCAGCUUU